ACAACCAAAGCUUGCGCUGCCGUUACUUAUAUGACAUGUGUGUUGCUUGGGUUGGAACUUUGAGAAAAAAUUCCCAGUAGAACUGGGAACUCCGAGAGGAAUUUCCAGUGAAAUUUCUAGAGAAAUUCUCAGAGAAAUUACUAGAGGAGCAACGGAGCAAAAACGGUACGAGCGCCGUGAGCGUACGAUUUGCGAGCUAAAGAAUAUUUGAUCUAAUCGUAAGAGGAACGAUGGGAAGUGCGUAGCGUGAAACGUAUGUUUGCUUGUAGUCUUGUUUUGAAAAUCGUUGUAUCAUUUCAAAUUAUCGCAAUCUAGAUUUUGGAGGCCGAUCAUACGUGGUAACUCUCUCUGUAUGUAAGAUAAUUUCAAUACUCUCGCUUAUAAAUCCGAAAUAACGGUAAAUUCUGGAAGUGUGAGAAACUAGAUGUGUUUCAUAAUGACCUGUUUAAAUUUGACGAUGAUGGUUUGUCAAUUAACGGUUAAUAACCAUAACGGGGCUUCAGAGAUUCUCAGGUGGGUAUCGUGGAGGUUUUAUGGGGGAUUUCUGAGGCGUUUCAAAGCGUUUCAAGACAAUUCGAUGCGUUUCAGGACGUUCCUAAAACGUUUUGGGAGACUUUUAAGGUUCUCGAGUGAGUUUCACGGAGGUUUCUUUCAGAGGCGUUUCAUAGCAUUUCAAAGCGGUUCAAAGCGUUUACAGGGCGUUUCAGGAAGUUGCUGGGGGAUUUGAGGAGGGUUCACAUGGCUCACAGGUGAAUUUCACGGAGGUUCCAUAAGGGAUUCAGAUGUGUUUCUAAGCUAUUCAAGGCAUUUCAAUGCGUUUCAGGGCACUUCAGGAGGUUUCAGAUGCUUCAGAGACACUCAUGUGAAUUUCACGGAGUUUUUAUGGAGGUUUGUGAGGCGCUGCAAAGUGUUUAAAAGCGUUUCAAGGCAUUUCAGGGCGUUUUGGGAAAUUUCCGGGAGCUUUAAGAGAGCUUCAGCAGAUCACAGGUGAAUUGACGUUUCAAAUCGUUUGAAGGCGUUUCAAUGCGUUUCAGGGCGCUUUAGGAGGUUUCAGAGGCGUCUUAGAGGCACUCAUGGGAAUUUCUUGGAAAUUUCAUGGGGUUUUAGGUGUUCCACAGUGUUUCAAAGCGUUUCAAUGCGUUUCAGGGCGUUUCAGGAAGUUUCCGAGAGCUUUAAGAGACCUUCAGAGACUCUCAGGUGAAUUCACGGAGGAUUCAUGGGGGUUUCAGAGGCAUUUUAAAGCGUAUUAAGGCAUUUCAAUGCGUUUCGGGGCGUUUCAGCUGAUUCAAUAUGGCGUUUCAGCUGAUUCAAUAUGGGUUUUAAGGGGCUUCAGAGACUUUCUGGUGAAUUUCACGGACAUUCAUGGCGGACAUUUAGAGGCAUUGCAAAGCAGUUCAAGGCUUUUCAAACCGUUUCAAUGCGUUUUAGGGCAUUUCUGGAGGUUUCCGUGGAGUUUAAGGGGUCUUCAGACGUUUGCUGGAGAACUUCUCAUAGGUUUACCCCUGGGAGUUUUCGGAUGCCCCUAUACAAGCAUAGAACCUACACUUAAUAGAACAGAGAUGCCUGAGGCUAUAAUAGUAUGAACCUCAUUCAUAAUUCUCUUAGACACAAUUAGUAGCUUUUCUAUACUCAAGGAAGUUCUAGGAGAUCCUCAAACUGACAAUGAACUCACUACAUGACAACACAUAGUUACAUGGGGCAGUGUAAGCAUAAAUUUCAUUCAUAAUGCUCCAAAAGAUUAUUGAUUACACUUGUAGAGCAGAUGGCCUAAACUCAGGGGAGUUCUCGGAUACUCUUAAACUUGUAACCCUUAAACAUUCCGCAAAUCUUAACUCUUUUUCGCAAACCAAAUUUAUCCCUAAUCUUCAGUACCCCAACUGCUCUGAACAUAAUCAAAUUGCAUUAACGCAAGGAAUUCAUUGGUUUCUAGUUGAAACGGGUUAACUAACGAACUAACCAUCCUUUCCUUUCGUGAUGACCACAAGGACAUGACUAGCACUGCUAUAAAUUUUACAAAUGUUGAGGUCUUGAAAUUUGUUCAUUGGUAAUAGUUAUCCAAAGAUCAAUUCUAUGACUCUCCGCAAAAUGUCGAUUGCUAUGGACAAGCAUAAAAAUUUUGAUGAAAUUUCCGAAAAACAACAAGACAAGAAAAUCCUAGCCAAACGACUAUUUAACACAAAACUUUUGAGUGCUACUGUACUUUUUCGCCCCGCAGAGCCGUGCUCGGGAUCCCAAAAUAUCGUCGUCAGUCAGUUGCUCGCCGUUGGACCAGUCGCGAACAUCGCGGAACAUCUUGCUCCCCCAGUGCAAUCAACCGACCCUUGGAUUACGGUUCUUUGCAGGUUCUUUCCAGCUCCGCAGCUGGAACGCGUUCUCUGUGGAUCGUGAUACAUCCGAAUAGUGUCAGUGUGUGAGCAGCUUUAGUGCGGAUUUUCGACAUCGAUUCGAGGUUUCUGGAGAGCGCCAGAAACCAUACUUUUCUUCCUCCGGACCCGGAUUAGGAAUUCAUCAACACCAACGUAGGAAACCAACAACCAGUGAAGAAUAGAGAAAACGAAACGAAACCAGUCAGAGGGUGAUACGAUUAGUGGAAUAAUUAUCGAAAGCAAAUAUCGUGUCACC